UUUGAUUUAGGGUCUUCUACCCCAAACACACAAGAAUAGGUGUUCAUCAAUUUUUUUUGUUUAGGUUUUGUUAUUUUCUUUCUCAAUGGGAUUUUCUGAGUGGGUUAUGAUUAUGAAGGAUUGUUAUUUUGUGUAUUUGGUACGUUGUUGAGGGUGAACCUUGGUUUAUUUUUUGAAGAUUUGGACUUGUUGUUAUUAUUGGAAUAUUUUGGUCAAACAGAUAUGUUUUGCUUGUGUUUUUUUGUAUUUUUCUUUUUUUUUUUUGGAAUAUUUUUCGAAGGUCGUGGUAAGCAGGGUGAUUGAAACCUAUUUUUUGA
rnacentral:lncRNA from 1 species